rnacentral:rRNA from 1 species
UACAGAGGGUGCGAGCGUUAAUCGGAAUUACUGGGCGUAAAGCGUGCGUAGACGGUUAUUUAAGUCGGAUGUGAAAGCCCCGGGCUCAACCUGGGAAUUGCAUUCGAGACUGAAUAGCUAGGGUGCGGUAGAGGGAAGCGGAAUUUCCGGUGUAGCGGUGAAAUGCGUAGAUAUCGGAAGGAACAUCAGUGGCGAAGGCGGCUUGCUGGGCCAGUUCUGACGCUGAGGAGCGAAAGCGUGGGGAGCGAACAGG